GAGGCUGUGGGUUCGUGGCAUCCGCGCCGCGGCCGCAAGUAUAGCAGGUUUCGUACCUGGUGUUCAUCGCCGUUAAGUCAUCGCUGCUGCCACCCAGGCACGGCUCUCUAUGCCGCCGCUCCCUCCACCCUCUAGGCACUGCCUGCCGUAAGAAUUUUAACUGCGACACUCGCUUCAGCAGGAGAUUUUAUUGGCUGCAGACACACGCAGCAUCUUCUUGCGCUCCUCCUUGAGGUGGAUGGGCAGCUAGCUGGAGAUGACACAGGAUGAUGCGCAUCUUUCGCACGCUGGCUCCAAGAUCUCCGCUGCCAGAUGCAGCAACAAAGCUUCUUUGUACAGACAGCCCUGGACACACUUCCAGCAGCAAUUCUUCUUGCAGGAACUGGUGCAAGAACAGGAUUUAUUCGUGGCACAGGAGCAGUUGGUGUCCACUGGGAGUGGAGGCAGAAGAGAGACCAGAGCGGGUAUGUUAGGAGAGAAAGCAGUGACUUCAACAGAAGUGGAGUAAAUAAAGAUGAUCACAGAACUUGGAAGCUGACGAAAUUAAUUUUGGAAAAGAGCUGGCUUGGAGCAUGACAGAAGAAUUCGAUGGAAAGAGUGCUGGGAGCCCAACUCAAGACUGAUGUGUGCUUGGCAGGCAGUCUACCCCCGAUCUCAGUCCUCCAGCCUUUCGGCCUUUUUUCCUUUUUGGAGACAGAAUUGCAUCAUAUGGCAUCCUACACAGUCCUGCCUCAGUCUCUGCAGUGCUGGGAUUGUAGGCCUAUGCCACCUAGCCUUUCUACAAUACAAACAAAUAUGAAAAGAAGAGGGACUUCUUUGGAAAGGAGUACAGGGACUAUGGAAGAGAUGAAAAGAUAAUAUUGUCAGAAAUUAUGCCGCUUUUGAAGAGAUAAACUGAACUCUUGAUUCUGUGAGGUUAUUAAAGAAUAUUAAUUUUCAAAUCACGGUAAAAUCUUGAUUCAGCAACACAUGAGGAUAAUCAUUGUGUCCAUGGAAACCUUGGGAAGCAGUUGAAAGCCUGGUCCCUCUUGCCUGGAGCAUUAACACAACGUGGCUGCAAAGUUAGUCCUUUCCCGCUACCAUCUCCUGAAUACUGGGACUAACUACACGUAUGCACGAACCUGCCCAUCUUUGCCUCUGUUAACAGCUGCCACUGUCUCUUCACGACAUGAUGGCUGACCUAGGUUGGAAGGAACAGAGCCAGUUGGCCAUGGACUGAAACUUUUGGAACUGAUUCUGAGGAGUUAAUGUUUCCAUGAAUAUCUCAGAAGGAGAUGUGGACAAACGAACAGUUAUCUCACUCCUGUAGCUGGCUGAGCUUUUUAAAGAUGGCUAUUCUGAAUUCUUCACAGAUGGCACAGUGUCAGAAUCGUGUGUGGCCUCCUGCUGCCUGAACCAUGCCGCUAAGACAGUUGCCCACUGUGCAGCUUCACACCAUCUGCAGAGAGCAACACUGCAGAGCCUUUGGGAGAGCCUUGCCAGUCGCUGAAAGCCUGGCUGACUGCCAAGCCUUGCACUGUAGACUGAAAAUUGCUCUCUUUGCUGAGCUCAGUACUAACACUUAGAUCUUCAUGGUCUCCUGGGAGACCAUGUCAGCUGCUGUUCAGUGAGAUAAAUUUGGAUCAGCUGAA
rnacentral:lncRNA from 1 species